GAUGAAGAACGUAGCGAAAUGCGAUACUUGGUGUGAAUUGCAGAAUCCCGUGAACCAUCGAGUCUUUGAACGCAAGUUGCGCCCGAAGCCAUUAGGCCGAGGGCACGCCUGCCUGGGCGUCACACGUCGUUGCCCCCCCAUCUACUCCUUCGGGAUUGCGGGGGGCGGAUGAUGGCCUCCCGUGCGCCUCGCCGCGCGGUUGACAUAAAUGCCAAGUCCUCGGCGACGCACGCCACGACAAUCGGUGGUUGCGAAACCUCGGUUGCCCGUCGUGUGCGGUCGUCGCGCAUCGAGGGCUCGAAAAAAUUGCCGGGUUCCGGCUCGGCUUUCAACGCGACCCCAGGUCAGGCGGGGUUACCCGCUGAAUUUAAGCAUAUCAAUAAGCGGAGGA
rnacentral:misc_RNA from 1 species